GACAGAGGCCUCAAGCGUUAGGCGGAAUCACUGGGCUUAAAGCGUGUGUAGGCGGAUCGUUAAGUGUCUUGUGAAAUCCCAACGGCUCACCCGUGGAACUGCUGGGGCAUACUGGCGAUCUUGGGCCAACUAGGGGGCAAACUGGAACAAAUGGUGGAGCGGUGAAAUGCGUAGAUAUCAAUUUGGGAACGCCAAUGGUGAAAAACAGGUAGCUGGGGCUGUGCU
rnacentral:rRNA from 1 species